AACGAACGCUGGCGGCAUGCCUAACACAUGCAAGUCGAACGAGACCUUCGGGUCUAGUGGCGCACGGGUGCGUAACGCGUGGGAAUCUGCCCUUGGGUUCGGAAUAACAGCGAGAAAUUGCUGCUAAUACCGGAUGAUGACGUAAGUCCAAAGAUUUAUCGCCAAGGAUGAGCCCGCGUAGGAUUAGCUAGUUGGUGAGGUAAAGGCUCACCAAGGCGACGAUCCUUAGCUGGUCUGAGAGGAUGAUCAGCCACACUGGGACUGAGACACGGCCCAGACUCCUACGGGAGGGCAGCAGUGGGGAAGUAUUGGACAAUAGGG
rnacentral:rRNA from 1 species